rnacentral:misc_RNA from 1 species
CAGUGUUCCUGCCCUCACGGGUAGAAACCCCACCCUUGUGUAUUAUAUCUUUGUUGCUUUGGCAGGCCGCCUUCGGGCACCGGCUCACGCUGGAUCGUGCCUGCCAGAGGACCCCAAAUUCUGAAUGUUAGUGUCGUCUGAGUACUAUAUAAUAGUUA